AUUGAACGCUGGCGGCAUGCUUUACACAUGCAAGUCGAACGGUAACAGGCCGCAAGGUGCUGACGAGUGGCGAACGGGUGAGUAAUGCAUCGGAACGUGCCCAGUCGUGGGGGAUAACUACUCGAAAGAGUAGCUAAUACCGCAUACGAUCUAUGGAUGAAAGCGGGGGACCGUAAGGCCUCGCGCGAUUGGAGCGGCCGAUGUCAGAUUAGGUAGUUGGUGGGGUAAAGGCUCACCAAGCCAACGAUCUGUAGCUGGUCUGAGAGGACGACCAGCCACACUGGGACUGAGACACGGCCCAGACUCCUGCGGGAGGCAGCAGUGGGGAAUUUUGGACAAAGGGCGCAAGCCUGAUCCAGCAAUGCCGCGUGCAGGAAGAAGGCCUUCGGGUUGUAGACUGCUUUUGUACGGAACGAAACGGCUCUGGUUAAUACCCGGGGCUAAUGACGGUACCGUAAGAAUAAGCACCGGCUAACUACGUG
rnacentral:rRNA from 1 species